rnacentral:lncRNA from 1 species
GGGAGGCCGGGAGGGGUCCCUGGGCGGGGAGUUGCUGCGCAUCUGUUGUGUGUGUGCGUCUGUCUGUCUGUUCAGGUCUGUUUUAGGCUGUGUCUGUCUGUCUGUCUGGGUCUGUUUCAGGCUGUGUCUGUCUGUCUGUCCGGGUCUGUUUCAGGCUGUGUCUGGGUCUGUUUCAGGCUGUGUCUGUUUCAGGCUGUGUCUGUCUGUCUGUCCGGGUCUGUUUCAGGCUGUGUCUGUCUGUCUGUCCGGGUCUGUUUCAGGCUGUAUGUGUGUCUGCUCUUUGCUUCUGCUCCUGGCUCUGUGUGUAUUUCCCGGGUCCU